GACAGAGGGUGCAAACGUUGUUCGGAAUUACUGGGCGUAAAGCGCACGUAGGCGGAUCGAUCAGUCAGGGGUGAAAUCCCAGAGCUCAACUCUGGAACUGCCUUUGAUACUGUCGGUCUAGAGUAUGGAAGAGGUGAGUGGAAUUCCGAGUGUAGAGGUGAAAUUCGUAGAUAUUCGGAGGAACACCAGUGGCGAAGGCGGCUCACUGGUCCAUUACUGACGCUGAGGUGCGAAAGCGUGGGGAGCAAACAGG
rnacentral:rRNA from 1 species